rnacentral:rRNA from 1 species
CUUGGUCAGGAUGAACGCUAGCGACAGGCCUAACACAUGCAAGUCGAGGGGCAGCACAAGGAGCAAUCUGAGGUGGCGACCGGCGCACGGGUGAGUAACACGUAUGCAACCUGCCUGUAAGCGGGGAAUAACCCGUUGAAAGACGGACUAAUACCGCAUAAUACUAAAUUACUGCAUGGUAAUUUAUUUAAACAUUUAUGGCUUACAGAUGGGCAUGCGCAUGAUUAGCUAGUUGGAGAGGUAACGGCUCCCCAAGGCAACGAUCAUUAGGGGUUCUGAGAGGAAGGUCCCCCACACUGGUACUGAGACACGGACCAGACUCCUACGGGAGGCAGCAGUGAGGAAUAUUGGUCAAUGGACGAGAGUCUGAACCAGCCAAGUCGCGUGCAGGAAGAAUGUCCCUAUGGAUUGUAAACUGCUUUUGCAGGGGAAUAAAGUGCAUCACGUGUGAUGUUUUGUAUGUACUCUGCGAAUAAGGAUCGGCUAACUCCGUGCCAGCCGCCGC